CGGAGGGAGCUAGCGUUGUUCGGAAUUACUGGGCGUAAAGCGCGCGUAGGCGGCUUUUUAAGUCAGGGGUGAAAUCCCGGGGCUCAACCCCGGAACUGCCCUUGAAACUGGAAAAGCUAGAAUCUUGGAGAGGUCAGUGGAAUUCCGAGUGUAGAGGUGAAAUUCGUAGAUAUUCGGAAGAACACCAGUGGCGAAGGCGACUGACUGGACAAGUAUUGACGCUGAGGUGCGAAAGCGUGGGGAGCAAACAGGAUU
rnacentral:rRNA from 1 species